rnacentral:rRNA from 1 species
UAACAAGGUUUCCGUAGGUGAACCUGCGGAAGGAUCAUUACCGAGUGAGGGCCCUCUGGGUCCAACCUCCCACCCGUGUUUAUUUUACCUUGUUGCUUCGGCGGGCCCGCCUUAACUGGCCGCCGGGGGGCUUACGCCCCCGGGCCCGCGCCCGCCGAAGACACCCUCGAACUCUGUCUGAAGAUUGAAGUCUGAGUGAAAAUAUAAAUUAUUUAAAACUUUCAACAACGGAUCUCUUGGUUCCGGCAUCGAUGAAGAACGCAGCGAAAUGCGAUACGUAAUGUGAAUUGCAAAUUCAGUGAAUCAUCGAGUCUUUGAACGCACAUUGCGCCCCCUGGUAUUCCGGGGGGCAUGCCUGUCCGAGCGUCAUUGCUGCCCUCAAGCCCGGCUUGUGUGUUGGGCCCCGUCCCCCGAUCUCCGGGGGACGGGCCCGAAAGGCAGCGGCGGCACCGCGUCCGGUCCUCGAGCGUAUGGGGCUUUGUCACCCGCUCUGUAGGCCCGGCCGGCGCUUGCCGAUCAACCCAAAUUUUUAUCCAGGUUGACCUCGGAUCAGGUAGGGAUACCCGCUGAACUUAAGCAUAUCAAUAGGC